CAGGACUGUAAACUUCAGAGCUAAAAGCAUUUAAUUGAGAAGACAGCAUCGCGCCUGGUGUAACUCACUUGUACAGUUUGCAUUUUCAACCUGAAAACAGAUACUUACGACAGAGGGUAGCGAGUACUCGGCAGACCCUCCCAGCACACGCAGGAUAACCAGACCCACCUCUCUUGGCUGUACAGAAGUUCCUCACUCACAGGAGGAUGUUUUGACCCAGGCUCCAGCACCCUGCAGAGAACAGCAGCAGAUUUUGGAAGGACUUCACCAUCAAGCUCAUACCCAGAGCUCUCAACCAGCCCUCACAGGUGUUAGCACAAAAAAGAUGACGAGGGUAGCAAGGAGCAUGUCUGUACACAGCCCUCUUACCUGAUGGCAGCUCUGGCUUUUACAAGGGCUGACAGCCUUAACAUGGCAGGAAGAAAUCAAAGAUGCAAAGCAGAAAAAAAAAUUAGCCUGAAGUUCACCAGGCAAAGAUCCCUUCUACCACACCCUACUUUUGAAUGGACCUGAAAUCCUCAUGGAGAUUUCUGUUUAACAACAACAUUAUCUUAAAAUUACGUAACGCCUUAUCGAGCCAGCACAUAUUAGUGCACCAGCAAUAACAAUGAUUUAACUGCUACUGUGGGAAUUUCGUUAGAAGAGAGCUGGAGCUGACUGAGCACUGACCCGUGUCGCCUUGCACAGGGGCGAAGGGAGGAAAUGCAGAUGCUCAGGAGCAGCUGAACCACAGCUCCCACCUGGGCCUGUUUGGCCAGAGGGGCUGUUCCUUCGCAGAGACCCCAGAGCAUGGGUUUGAUCUUUUGUAGGGGAGAGCACAAAAGAGAACCCUGUUGUGCAUGACCUUGAUGUAAAUGGCAGCAAGUAUGACCUUAGUGUCUUGUUUCCCUGGAUCUUUAGCCCUUGAAAAGCCCUCCUUUGCAAAAUUGGCUUGUUAGCAUCACUUAGUGUAGAAAAAGCACUAUUAUACUUGCCACCUCCCAGGAGUAUUUAGGGGUGUAUUUACAAAGUGUACCUCAAGGAUAAAGUCUCCAAAGAGAAAUACAUGCAUAAAAUGCUAUUUUCUCGCCUGCUCACUGUCCUUCAGUAGGUUUCUUGCCUUGUCUCCCAAACCUCAAGGCUCUUUAAAAACUGCAGUCAGUUAGUACUGCUUCAUUAUUGAGGUAAAAUUUCAUCACUGGGAUUUGCGAUUGGUUUCUAGUGUUUAGGUUUUUUUUAUUUUGGCCCCUCUCCUUUUGCUGCCUUGCUCUGGGUGCUGAGCACUAUGGGACCAGUAUCCCAUUUUCUAGUGGCCUUUCUUUGAUCCAUCACUUUGUCUGAGAGUCUGGUACAAAACUGCUUCUAAUUACCUGACAUUUAUUCUUCAAACCUUAACUAAUUCACUAAUCAUUAUAGUGAUAAAUGAGAUUUUUAAAAUUAAUCACUGACAUUUUUAAAGAUUUAUACACAACUGGAAAAAAAGGUUCCCAGCUUGUAAAUACAAUGUUGUGUGAAGGAAAAAAACACCCACUAUAAAUUAAAGCUGUCCUGUAUUAAAGGGAAGCAGUAAAAUUGAAGACAUGGGGAGAUGUUACCUGAUGAAUAGCGGUAGCAUCUUAUCACAGUUAGUGUCUUUGUGCUACAGACCACCUUGACAGCAGGAAAACAGCACUGGUAAAAGCCUUGUCACGUGCAAAAUUUAAUUUAACUUCUAAUGUGUAAUUGCUGGGAGUUUGUGAGGCAGGCAGGGAGGUGGCCAAGGGCUGCCUUACUGAGCAGAUUCGGAGUUCACAGUAUUUGCAAUGGAACAUUUACUCCUUGGAAAACAGCAAGGCAGAUUUCUACCACUUAUUCAGUAAGAUAAAUUCAAUUAUUUUAGCUAAUUUAAAAGUCAUCAAUUAAAAGUUUGAAGACUGACUACCAAGCUUGCUAGUUAUAAUUAAUGUUUAUGUAGAUGACAACUAUUUAAAUGUAACAUCAAGCCUUAUCACCAAACUCAGAAUUGUCAUUGCACAUUACCAGCAUUUUGGAUAAUCUUUCUCCCUUUAAUGAGAGAACUGGCAUUUGAGCUUAUAUUUUGGAUGCUGCUAUUGUUUAUUAUUAAUAGCAAAGUUAUUUAAACACAGUAUUACCUAACACUGUUACAGGCAUAGAAGAAGAGAGAAUUCCUGCAUCAAGUACAGCCGCUAUGAGCAACCUUUGCAAACCAGACAUAAUCAGUGUUUUACUGGGAUCUAUGCUAGUCUCUAGAUUUUGGUGGUAACUUUUUUUCUUUUAUCUACAGGGUACAGACUAGCAAAAUAACAGUUACUAGGGGGAACUUGCAUGUUGAAUUUUAUGAUCAUUGCCAAAGAAAGUGACAUAAGUGUAACAUAUCCACCAUGGCUCCUGUUUUAAAUCACAACUACCAAAUUAGGAACUCACAUUUGGCAUCCUACCCAAAUCCAUAGGACUGGCACUAUGUCCCAUAACAACUUACAGCAGUUUAGUACACAGUAGGUGGUGUACACCAAUGAAAUGAAAAAUGGGCUUAACACACCUGCUUCUGGCUCUCUGUGUCAUGAAAAAAUGUUUGACAGAAAUAACUGGCAAUGACAACCUUUGAGUUGGAUUUUUUCCUGGUUACAGUCAAAGUGAAUGCCACAAGAUCUAAGGGGAACCAGCACAUGAGCACAGUCAUAGUUUUAAAACUAAACUAAAGCUGUUUUCUUUGAAGCCUAGAGAAUGUGCUUUGUUUAGACUGAUGUUAAGAGAUAUUAUGCCAUUUUUGAAUGGAACUGCAUUAAGUAAAAAAAGCUCCCCCUUGCCUAUGUUUCCUGAACAAAGUCCUUUCUAAAAGAGUUUUUAAUGAAUUUUACAUCAUGACUCCCACUUAAUUGGAUUUCCAAGAUGUGCAUAAAUGUGGUGAGAAUUACAUCAUGAACAGGUACUAUGGAUAGGAUAUAGGUGAUGCUACCUAUGUAUCUUGGCAAAAUCUUAUGAUCUUAAACUUUGAUGCUGACACGUGGGGCAUUUCUCUCACAGCAGGUUCCCGAUGAUAUUUAGAGGCAGCAAUAUCAAAAUAGGCAAGUGACUAAACUAUUUAUAACUGCAAAAGGGCUUUUUUUUAUUAUUAUUAUUUGCAGCUGGUCUGAAGGUACUUUAACACCAGACUUUUUAUGAGCUUUCUUACUGCUCAUGUGCACACUUACUAGCAUAUCCCAUCAGCAGAGACUUCUAGUGUGAGAUCAGCUAGUAAUAAAAUUAUUAAAAUAUUAGGAAAUUUCAAAAUUGCUUGCACUUUUGCUUAGAUGUAAGAGCCACAUACUCUAAGUUACAUUUUUAAGAGUCCUGUGCAAGAAACACAAUAUGUUUUUGAUUGCUUGUUUUAUUAAGUGAAAUGAACAGGCUAAUUAAAGAAAUUCCAGGAAGUUUCUGCUUUCUGUCUCCUAGGGACAUGCCUCAAGUGUCAAAGGAGAUACUACUGAUGGCUAUAAAACACCUAAGUGUGUUUAUACUGGCUGUAAAAUGCAACUUAUAGCUUCUAUUUAACUUUCAUAAUAUUUCCUUUUUAUACCAUGCUUAGAAAUUCAUAUUAAGGCAUUAGUUGAAAUAGUGCUUGUAUAUAUUUGAAAAAAAUCCCUGGUAAUUCCAAGUUAAAAACCGAAGGCAAGCCAUUGGCAAAACAGUCUUGGGAAUAAACUGUUAUGACUAUAAUUUCAUCCAUAAACACUAAAAACUAAGAACAAGCUAGCCAUUGAAAAAUAUAAGUCUCCAAGAUACCUCUAGUCUUGUCUUUCAAAAUGUGUUUAACGCUGAGUGAUGAUCUUCUACUUGAAGCCAUAAGCUAUGCCACAGAGCUGGCUGUGGUUCUGCAAUCAGUUCAGACUUCUAGAACCACUAGAUCCACUUGUAGAUCCACUGGAUGGAAUUUGAAGGAUUGUUAAAGAAACUGAACGUUCUCAUAAGCAACCCAAACCAGCAAUUCUGAGGUGCUAUAUAGAACUGACACACAAUUACUCUAUUUUCUAAUACCAGUCCUUCAAAGUAAUUUCUAUAUUCUUAGAGAACCUAUGUAUGUGUUACUGAAGCUAGUAGACAGUAAUGUUUUUAAUGAGGAUAUUAGUUAUCCCAUGCAACUUGCUUCUCAGAAAGAGUUGCAUCUUCUAGACUACUUAGGGUUCUUUGAGAUAAUGUUCAUGUUUUAGAGCACAUGAAAUGUUUAAGGGUAUUUUAAGGCUCAGUAAUGCAGUUUACUUGAACAAAGGUGUAUGAGCCCUGAUAAGGCAAACUGCAUCAGAUUUGAAGUUGAAUUCUAUGUGAUAGUUUAGAAAAUGGACUAUAUGAAUAAGAAAUGAAGUUUGGAAAAGUUCUGAUAAUUUCCUGCUGUAUAGACAUAUGCAAUCUACUUAUCAGGUGCCUUUGUAAAAUGAACUUUAAUGACUUGAAGAUGCUUCUAAGUCCAAGCCUCAGAGUGUUGAGAUAGCAGAAGCACUGGAUAACUAAUUUGCAGUUCAACAAGUCUCUGAGAGAUGUGUUUACUUCCACCAGGAAGACUUUUGAAGAAUAUAAAAUCUUCCAAACCAAGUGGGCAAGCACAUGCACUAGUGAUAUCUCUCUGCUUUAAUGUACAGCUAAGUGUGAGCAGGCAGGUAACGGCAGCAGGGUGCAAAAGGCAGCAGAGAAUAAUGUGGGAAAUAUCUUUCAAGACCAGCAUUAGUUCUUCAGGAUUGCAGAGAGACGACAUUUACCAAAGCAACUUCAAAGAGCUGAAAGAGAUUAAAGUUUUCCUCUUAAUGAUUCUAAAGUGUUACUGAAGGGAUCAAUAGCUCUUCUGUUAAACAAGCUGUUCAAAUCAAGUAUUCCUGGAGAGGAGAUAAACCAGUCCUGGAAGUAAUAGCGAGAUUUAAUUAGAAUUUGAAAUUGUUCAGUAUUCGUUAAUUUAUCUGCCAGUAUCACAAUAGUUUUAGUGAACUGUAAGUUUACAACAGUAGGAUUCCUUAUGAAAGGAAAAAAUUAUCUGAUUCUUUCUGAGCCCUUUUAACUGUGCCUCAAUUAUUUACUAUGUAGCCCACAUAGAGAGAAAUUUCUCUUUUCUGUACCUGAUGUCACUGGUUUUUUCUGGGGGAGGAGGAGAGAAGGAAGGGAGAAAAAAUCGUUACUUCCCGUUUCUUUAAUAAUAAAAUAAUUGCAUCCCA